AGUGAACGCUGGCGGUAGGCCUAACACAUGCAAGUCGAACGGCAGCACAGUGAGAGCUUGCUCUUACGGGUGGCGAGUGGCGGACGGGUGAGGAAUACAUCGGAAUCUACUUUUUCGUGGGGGAUAACGUAGGGAAACUUACGCUAAUACCGCAUACGACCUACGGGUGAAAGCAGGGGAUCUUCGGACCUUGCGCGAUUGAAUGAGCCGAUGUCGGAUUAGCUAGUUGGCGGGGUAAAGGCCCACCAAGGCGACGAUCCGUAGCUGGUCUGAGAGGAUGAUCAGCCACACUGGAACUGAGACACGGUCCAGACUCCUACGGGAGGCAGCAGUGGGGAAUAUUGGACAAUGGGGGCAAGCCUGAUCCAGCCAUACCGCGUGGGUGAAGAAGGCCUUCGGGUUGUAAAGCCCUUUUGUUGGGAAAGAAAAGCAGCAGGUUAAUACCCCGCUGUUCUGACGGUACCCAAAGAAUAAGCACCGGCUAACUUCGUG
rnacentral:rRNA from 1 species